rnacentral:rRNA from 1 species
ACACAUGCAAGUCGAACGGCAGCACAGUAAGAGCUUGCUCUUAUGGGUGGCGAGUGGCGGACGGGUGAGGAAUACAUCGGAAUCUACUCUUUCGUGGGGGAUAACGUAGGGAAACUUACGCUAAUACCGCAUACGACCUACGGGUGAAAGCGGAGGACCUUCGGGCUUCGCGCGAUUGAAUGAGCCGAUGUCGGAUUAGCUAGUUGGCGGGGUAAAGGCCCACCAAGGCGACGAUCCGUAGCUGGUCUGAGAGGAUGAUCAGCCACACUGGAACUGAGACACGGUCCAGACUCCUACGGGAGGCAGCAGUGGGGAAUAUUGGACAAUGGGCGCAAGCCUGAUCCAGCCAUGCCGCGUGGGUGAAGAAGGCCUUCGGGUUGUAAAGCCCUUUUGUUGGGAAAGAAAAGCAGUCGGUUAAUACCCGAUUGUUCUGACGGUACCCAAAGAAUAAGCACCGGCUAACUUCGUGCCAGCAGCCGCGGUAAUACGAAGGGUGCAAGCGUUACUCGGAAUUACUGGGCGUAAAGCGUGCGUAGGUGGUGGUUUAAGUCUGUUGUGAAAGCCCUGGGCUCAACCUGGGAAUUGCAGUGGAUACUGGGUCACUAGAGUGUGGUAGAGGGUAGCGGAAUUCCCGGUGUAGCAGUGAAAUGCGUAGAGAUCGGGAGGAACAUCAGUGGCGAAGGCGGCUACCUGGACCAACACUGACACUGAGGCACGAAAGCGUGGGGAGCAAACAGGAUUAGAUACCCUGGUAGUCCACGCCCUAAACGAUGCGAACUGGAUGUUGGGUGCAAUUUGGCACGCAGUAUCGAAGCUAACGCGUUAAGUUCGCCGCCUGGGGAGUACGGUCGCAAGACUGAAACUCAAAGGAAUUGACGGGGGCCCGCACAAGCGGUGGAGUAUGUGGUUUAAUUCGAUGCAACGCGAAGAACCUUACCUGGUCUUGACAUCCACGGAACUUUCCAGA